GAUGAACGCUAGCGGCAGGCCUAACACAUGCAAGUCGAGGGGUAACUAGAGUGAUAGCAAUAUUACUUUGGCUAGACCGGCGCACGGGUGCGUAACACGUAUGCAACCUACCUUAUACUGGGGAAUAACUUCGAGAAAUCGGCGCUAAUACCCCAUAACAUUGCGAAGAGGCAUCUCUUUGCAAUUAAAGCUCCGGCGGUAUAAGAGGGGCAUGCGUCCAAUUAGCUAGUUGGUGAGGUAACGGCUCACCAAGGCUACGAUUGGUAGGGGUUCUGAGAGGAUGAUCCCCCACACUGGUACUGAGACACGGACCAGACUCCUACGGGAGGCAGCAGUGAGGAAUAUUGCGCAAUGGACGAAAGUCUGACGCAGCCAUGCCGCGUGCAGGAUGACGGCCCUAUGGGUUGUAAACUGCUUUUGUACGGGAAUAAACCCUUCUACGUGUAGGAGGCUGAAGGUACCGUAAGAAUAAGCACCGGCUAACUCCGUGCCAGCAGCAGCCGCCG
rnacentral:rRNA from 1 species